GGGUGCAUGUCGUUCUGUCCCGAUCGAUCGACAAUCACCAUCCCAUCAGGGUUUAGGCAUGAAGAAUGAUGCCAACGUUCCUCGGUCUCCUCCAAUAGAGAUUCGACCUCGGGCUAAUCUCCGUGCCUCGAAAAAUCUCGUCGGAAGGAGGACCUCCAGCAAAAGGUCCGAAAGAUCAAACGUCAUCUGGGUAAGGUUCACAUAGGCA
rnacentral:lncRNA from 1 species